AUAAACACUUGGCCACGGAGAUACCAAGAUCACCUCCCAGGGUGAGGCCCAUCCAUUGCACUCACGUUGUGUUGACCUCUGUAAGUUUCCCAAAUGUGGGGAACUUGACUGCAUGAUUUCUGUUAGUGGGAGACUGUAUACAUGCUCGCU
ensembl:snRNA U1 U1 spliceosomal RNA